GGGGGCAACCCUGGCGGCGAGCGGCGAACGGGUGAGUAAUACAUCGGAACGUACCCAGGAGUGGGGGAUAACACAUCGAAAGAUGUGCUAAUACCGCAUACGCCCUGAGGGGGAAAGCGGGGGAUCGCAAGACCUCGCGCUGUUGGAGCGGCCGAUGUCGGAUUAGCUAGUUGGUAGGGCAAAGGCCUACCAAGGCGACGAUCCGUAGCUGGUCUGAGAGGAUGAUCAGCCACACUGGGACUGAGACACGGCCCAGACUCCUACGGGAGGCAGCAGUGGGGAAUUUUGGACAAUGGGGGCAACCCUGAUCCAGCCAUUCCGCGUGAGUGAAGAAGGCCUUCGGGUUGUAAAGCUCUUUCGGCAGGAACGAAACGGCGGGCUCUAACAUGGCCUGUCAAUGACGGUACCUGAAGAAGAAGCACCGGCUAACUACGUGCCAGCAGCCGCGGUAAUACGUAGGGUGCGAGCGUUAAUCGGAAUUACUGGGCGUAAAGCGUGCGCAGGCGGUUUUGUAAGACAGCUGUGAAAUCCCCGGGCUUAACCUGGGAACUGCGGUUGUGACUGCAAGACUAGAGUGCGGCAGAGGGGGGUGGAAUUCCACGUGUAGCAGUGAAAUGCGUAGAGAUGUGGAGGAACACCGAUGGCGAAGGCAGCCCCCUGGGUUGACACUGACGCUCAUGCACGAAAGCGUGGGUAGCAAACAGGAUUAGAUACCCUGGUAGUCCACGCCCUAAACGAUGCCGACUAGGUGUUGGGGAAGGAGACUUCCUUAGUACCGUAGCUAACGCGUGAAGUUGGCCGCCUGGGGAGUACGGUCGCAAGAUUAAAACUCAAAGGAAUUGACGGGGACCCGCACAAGCGGUGGAUGAUGUGGAUUAAUUCGAUGC
rnacentral:rRNA from 1 species